UAGGGAAUCUUCGGCAAUGGACGAAAGUCUGACCGAGCAACGCCGCGUGAGUGAAGAAGGUUUUCGGAUCGUAAAACUCUGUUGUUAGAGAAGAACAAGGACGUUAGUAACUGAACGUCCCCUGACGGUAUCUAACCAGAAAGCCACGGCUAACUACGUGCCAGCAGCCGCGGUAAUACGUAGGUGGCAAGCGUUGUCCGGAUUUAUUGGGCGUAAAGCGAGCGCAGGCGGUUUCUUAAGUCUGAUGUGAAAGCCCCCGGCUCAACCGGGGAGGGUCAUUGGAAACUAGGAGACUUGAGUGCAAAAGAGGAGGGUGGAAUUCCAUGUGUAGCGGUGAAAAGCGUAGAUAUAUGGAGGAACACCAGUGGCGAAGGCGGCUCGCUGGUAUGUAACUGACGCUGAGGCUCGAAAGCGUGGGGAGCAAACAGG
rnacentral:rRNA from 1 species